UGGGAGCACAGGUUUACCUGUGUGACUGCGUACCUUUUGUAUAAUGGGUCAGCGACUUAUAUUCUGUAGCAAGGUUAACCGAAUAGGGGAGCCGGAGGGAAACCGAGUCUUAAUUGGGCGUUAAGUUGCAGGGUAUAGACCCGAAACCCGGUGAUCUAGCCAUGGGCAGGUUGAAGGUUGGGUAACACUAACUGGAGGACCGAACCGACUAAUGUUGAAAAAUUAGCGGAUGACCUGUGGCUGGGGGUGAAAGGCCAAUCAAACCGGGAGAUAGCUGGUUCUCCCCGAAAGCUAUUUAGGUAGCGCCUCGUGAAUUCAUCUCCGGGGGUAGAGCACUGUUUCGGCUAGGGGGCCAUCCCGGCUUACCAACCCGAUGCAAACUGCGAAUACCGGAGAAUGUUAUCACGGGAGACACACGGCGGGUGCUAACGUCCGUCGUGAAGAGGGAAACAACCCAGACCGCCAGCUAAGGUCCCAAAGUCAUGGUUAAGUGGGAAACGAUGUGGGAAGGCCCAGACAGCCAGGAUGUUGGCUUAGAAGCAGCCAUCAUUUAAAGAAAGCGUAAUAGCUCACUGGUCGAGUCGGCCUGCGCGGAAGAUGUAACGGGGCUAAACCAUGCACCGAAGCUGCGGCAGCGACGUUUAUGCGUUGUUGGGUAGGGGAGCGUUCUGUAAGCCUGCGAAGGUGGCCUGUGAGGGUUGCUGGAGGUAUCAGAAGUGCGAAUGCUGACAUAAGUAACGAUAAAGCGGGUGAAAAGCCCGCUCGCCGGAAGACCAAGGGUUCCUGUCCAACGUU
rnacentral:rRNA from 1 species